UGUCUUCUUAGUAUAAUACGUACAAGUGACUUCCAAUCACACAGUCUCGGUCAGACUCCGGGAGAAGAC
rnacentral:tRNA from 1 species